AAACCCCAAGCAAUAUGAUAAAAAAUCAAUAACCUGGCAUUAAUGUGGAGUAAAUUUUCUGUUUCUGUGUUUCUGUUUCUGCAGUCAAAACUACACAAGCAAAUCCAGUUACAAACACAACAGUAAUUACAGCAUCGAACGCACAAUCACAGACUACAGAUCCAACUACAAACACAACAGUAAAUACAACAUCAAACACACAAUCACAGACCACAGUCAAUACUACACAAGCAGCUCCAACUACAAACACAACAGUAAUUACAGCAUCAAAUGCACAAUCACAGACUACAGGUAAACAACAUCAUCUGGCUGGAAUGAAAGCAAUUUUUAUUCCAUUUUAAGUCAAUACUCCACAAACAGGUCCAACUACAAAAACAACAUUAACAUCAAGCACACAAUCACAGACUACAGUCAAAACUACACAAACAGAUCCAACUACAAGCAAAACUUUAAUUACAAAAACAGAAAUCCCCCUGGAUUUGUACUUUUGUAAUUUGUUUAAUGUUUUAUGCAAUAGUUGCAUUUGCACUUGUGUGUUUUCAAGCAGGGUCUUCCUCUAUAUUGCUCAAUUAGUGUUUAUAUAUAUUUGCAUGUAACUUCAUAGCCUGCCUGUUUUAAAGAGAUUUUUUUUCUCUUGCACAUGAACAAAUUUAUUGCACUACACUUUUUAUUAUAAAUAUAUCUGCUAAACUUUGUGUAGAUGUGUAUAGUGCAGUUUUUCAAUCUGAGUGGAGGAUACUGAGAAAAUUCAUUCUGAAGGAAAAACAACCUUACAAAAAGUGAUGAUGUUUUGAAAUGUUGCUGUCCAAAGGUCUAAUUUCUUAUUAUUUACUUGGCUGCUGUACUGUCUCCUGUAUAAUGGACAGUUGGGCUCUUUCUGAAUUUUAAUUGUAAUUUAAAAAAUACUGCGUUUUGGAGAGCUGCUUUAGAAAAUGAGAAUUUUUGUUAUUGUUGUUGUUACUGUUUUUCCCAGUACUGGGUUGCAGCUGAAAGGGCAUCCGCUGUGCAAAAACAUAUGCUGGACAAGUUGGUGGUUCAUUCUGCUGUGGCAAGCCCGCAUUAAUAAAGGGACUAAGCCGUUUAUGUUAUUGUUUAUGCACUUGAUGUUGAAACGUCUUCAAAGUGACAAAUUUACUUUGUGAUCAAAUAUGAUGCAUUUUAUUGGCUCCAUUUGUAUCUGUGAUAUUGUGAUACGCUUUGAAAAUAAAUGAAACAUAUCUUCAUUAUUAUA